UAUAGUAGAAAGAAGUGUAGCGAUUCACGCGUCUGAAGUUUCGGAGCAUGACGUAACCAUCAAAUUUCAGACGCAGCAAAUUCAGACUAGUCGUUUCCUAUGCAUCUAUAUGUAGGUGAAGGAAAGACAUGCUAAUAUAUGCGUACGCAUCUCGACACAUCUCGAUCGUAGCAAAAGGAACGUAGCUGUAAUCAGCUGUAAUGAUGGGAGGCGUGGAGCGUGGAGCACCGUGGAGAAAGAUCUUCCAACAAUGCACCAAUGACGUUACGCGGCCAACUUCAUGGUGCACGAUACGCGUGACAAAAACGAAAUACCACGUGGAAUGUAUAACAAAAAAAAACUGGACCCGUAUAACCUUUAUAUUGAUUUUAGCUUGAUCAAAAUAAUUUAAGCUCGAGAUCUUAAUCGUUUAAACAUUGCAGUUGCGGGAAUCUGAUUGAAUUGUGUGUAAUUAAAUAAAAUAAUUGCUAUUUUUGUAUAUUUUGUAUAUUAUACAUAUACAUAAUAUAAUAUCAAAUUAGUAAUAAGAUUUUUUUUCAUAAAUUACGUAUAUGAUUCAUUAUCUUUAUUUGAAUGUAUAUAAUAACGUAUAUUUAAACAUUUUUAGUCGUAAUAUUUUAUUAUUCUAAGGCACGUGUAUGUAAAAUUAACUGACUAAAUUUGUUCGCUUCAAUGACAUCGUAACUCUUGUUAACGUAAAUGUAUCAAUGCGAUUUAUUAUCUAUUCGAUCACGCUUCAACCUCUUUAAUUUAUGCGCAGUUACGUUUUGCCUGUAAUCAAUCUUUCCGAAGCUGUUCGGAACGCGCACGAUCGGAUUUUACGGGAAUUACGGCCGAUUUCACCAACUUUCCUUCGAAUUAAGAUUAGAUAACGUCUAUUAAAUUCGCACUUAACGGCUUUUUAGGCGAAAAAGAGUUUCCCUGUUUCAAGUUUUUUAACAUUUAAUAUUAUAGUUGAUAAUUAUACUGAUUAUUUGGAGCAUUUCGUAUCUGUAAAGAUAUUUAAGUUUUUAAUUUUGUAAUUCUCAAGCUUUGACAAAUUGUUUCAUUUCUAAGAACAAGAGAAAAUCUUAGAACCAUUUUUUCCAUAGUUUUAUUAAUUUAAAAAUUGAUAAUUUAUUUUAUUCUUUUUUAAUCUUGACAAAAUUUGCUAAAAGAAUUUAUUAAUUAAAUACGUAUCUUUUUUAUUAAAUAUUUUACUGGCUUAUUGAUAUAUAUUUGAAAAUGUAAAAGUUUAAUAAAAUUGACACAUUAACGCUUGCCAAAUUUACACGUAUGUCACUGUAUUUCAU